UUAAUUUCAAAAAUUUAAAAAUAGUUAAAUAAAUUUUUUUAUCAAAUUAUUUGUUUAACAUUAUUUAAAAUAAUACUUUUUUCAAAUUAUACUUUUUCUUUUAACAUUCGAAUUCCAACUCCAAAUGUAACGUAAGAGUAACACAACAUUAACAUGGCGGACCAGAAUUAAGGUUAACGAAUUGAGCUAAUAAUCAAAAAGAGGCUACCAUUGGGCUCAUGAGUAACUUAUCAAAUUCUUCAAAUACUGGAAACCAGCGACAAUCUUUAAGGCACUAGACUGCAUUUCGAUAUCCCCUAAACUGAAGAAGUUCUAACAGGUACAAAGUCCGUUUUAACGUCCUCAAUUAGAAGAUAAUUGAAGGGGGAAAGCAGUCAGGUAUUUGGAUUUUGUAAAAAUGUUAAAAGGAAAGAAAAAUAGAGAAAAAGGAAAACUAGGAGGAGAAGUAUAACAAAGAGGAUUCUCCCAAUGAAAGGAUACAAGUGGGUACCAUUUUACAUUACCUUAAACACCAAUCAGCAUUGCAUAUGAGAAGAUAGAAUUCCCUCACUUGCGGCAGAUACGAGCAGU
rnacentral:misc_RNA from 1 species